UUCAUUUUCUCCUCUCAGCAGCAGCGUGUGCCGAGCUCCUUCCUUCCCAUCCAUAGCCUUGCCGCCGCCGUGCUCACGGUAGGCCUGCUCGCCGCAGCGGCAUCGGCGGCCGUUACCAACGACCGCAACGGCGUGGUGGUGAACUGCCAGUGCCGACUACCCCAGGAGCUUCCUGAGAUAUGGUCGGAUCUAAUAGGCCAAGCACCGUGGCCUUGACGUGGUGCAGUGAACGGCCACGAGCCCUCCGCUGGACAGGAAGGGGCCUCUGCCGGCAGAGCUGCUCGGCACAGCUGCCGGCGUGGGGACGUUGAGUAGCGACUGCUCGGACUGGGUGAGGAGCUGCGGCGCAGGGCACGGGGAGCGGCAGCGUGCAGCUCGGUGACGCGGGCCACGUAGCAUGGGAGAGCAGCUGUGGCAGUGCGGCACGGGGAAGCCACUACGGGAAAACAGUGGGUUUGCCGUGGGUCCGAUAAAGCACACGGCAAAGGAUUUGUCGUGUGUUACACACGGUAAACAGCGCACGGCAAAGUUCGGCCGGCAUACAGAGUGUUUGUCGUGUGUCUUUUUUCGGGCACACGGCAAAGUCAUUGCCGUGUGUUUUAUCGGGCCCAAGGAAAAAUAAAGUUACCCCGUCGACCCAGCAUGCCACGUGGGCUGUUUGCCGUGUGCCACAAUGGUCAGGCACACGGCAAACAAUGCCACCUUUGCCGUGUGCCACGUGGACAGGCACACGGCAAAGAAUGGCAGCUUUGCCGUGUGCCUUGCCAUGGCACACGGCAAAAAAUGGUGGCACAUGGCAAAAUUAAUUUUCAAAUUCUUUUUUUUGUUUAAUCACAAUUAUUUUAGAUUCCAAUCAAAUUAACAUCACAGGCAA